rnacentral:lncRNA from 1 species
GACUGAUGGGAAGCCCCGGGUGCUGCUGAUGUCAGAGUUGUUCUUGUAUUUCCAGGAGAAAGUGAUGGAGUCGGGAAGGAAGUCCUGUGCGAGGCAGCCAACGGCCACGCUGCUCGUAUCCGACGGGGAAUUCUCACAGGAGACGAGGGGGAAAAGGGUUGGGGCGGAUGCACUCCUGAGGAGACGGUGACCAGGGUUCCCUGGCCCCAGUAGUCAAAGUAGACUCACCUCCCCUCACUGUGCCUCUCGCACAGUAAUACACAGCCGUGUCCGCGGCGGUCACAGAGCUCAGCUUCAGGGAGAACUGGUUCUUGGACGUGUCUACUGAUAUGGUGACUCGACUCUUGAGGGACGGGUUGUAGUUGGUGCUUCCACUAUGAUUGAUUUCCCCAAUCCACUCCAGCCCCUUCCCUGGGGGCUGGCGGAUCCAGCUCCAGUAGUAACCACUGAAGGACCCACCAUAGACAGCGCAGGUGAGGGACAGGGUCUCCGAAGGCUUCAACAGUCCUGCGCCCCACUGCUGUAGCUGCACCUGGG